AAGCCUGAUGCAGCCAUGCCGCGUGUAUGAAGAAGGCCUUCGGGUUGUAAAGUACUUUCAGCAGUGAGGAAGGUGGAUAUGUUAAUAGCAUAUUCAUUUGACGUUAGCUGCAGAAGAAGCACCGGCUAACUCCGUGCCAGCAGCCGCGGUAAUACGGAGGGUGCGAGCGUUAAUCGGAAUUACUGGGCGUAAAGCGCAUGCAGGUGGUUUGUUAAGUCAGAUGUGAAAGCCCGGGGCUCAACCUCGGAAUUGCAUUUGAAACUGGCAAACUAGAGUACUGUAGAGGGGGUAGAAUUUCAGGUGUAGCGGUGAAAUGCGUAGAGAUCUGAAGGAAUACCGGUGGCGAAGGCGGCCCCCUGGACAGAUACUGACACUCAGAUGCGAAAGCGUGGGGAGCAAACAGGAUUAGAUACCCUGGUAG
rnacentral:rRNA from 1 species